GGAAAAGUAGCUCAGUAGGUAGAGCGGUAGACUGAAAAUCUGCGUCGUCGAUGGUUCGAUUCCAUCCUUUUCCA
rnacentral:tRNA from 1 species